rnacentral:rRNA from 1 species
UCUCUACGAGACGCAGCAGUGGGGAAUAUUGCACAAUGGGGGGAACCCUGAUGCAGCGACGCCGCGUGAGUGAAGAAGUAUUUCGGUAUGUAAAGCUCUAUCAGCAGGGAAGAUAAUGACGGUACCUGACUAAGACGCCCCGGCUAACUACGUGCCAGCAGCCGCGGUAAUACGUAGGGGGCAAGCGUUAUCCGGAAUUACUGGGUGUAAAGGGAGCGUAGACGGUGAUGCAAGUCUGGAGUGAAA